AUUGAACGCUGGCGGCAGGCCUAACACAUGCAAGUCGAGCGGAUGAAGGGAGCUUGCUCCUGGAUUCAGCGGCGGACGGGUGAGUAAUGCCUAGGAAUCUGCCUGGUAGUGGGGGAUAACGUCCGGAAACGGGCGCUAAUACCGCAUACGUCCUGAGGGAGAAAGUGGGGGAUCUUCGGACCUCACGCUAUCAGAUGAGCCUAGGUCGGAUUAGCUAGUUGGUGGGGUAAAGGCCUACCAAGGCGACGAUCCGUAACUGGUCUGAGAGGAUGAUCAGUCACACGGGAACUGGAACAAGGUCCAGACUCCUACGGGAGGCAGCAGUGGGGAAUAUUGGACAAUGGGCGAAAGCCUGAUCCAGCCAUGCCGCGUGUGUGAAGAAGGUCUUCGGAUUGUAAAGCACUUUAAGUUGGGAGGAAGGGCAGUAAGUUAAUACCUUGCUGUUUUGACGUUACCAACAGAAUAAGCACCGGCUAACUUCGUG
rnacentral:rRNA from 1 species